AUCCUGGCUCAGAAUGAACGCUGGCAGCAUGGAUUAGGCAUGCAAGUCGAACGAGAAUCCGGGCUUCGGCCCGGAGGAGAGUGGCGCAAGGGUGAGUAACACGUGAGUAAUCUGCCCCGAAGUCUGGGAUAGCCCAUGGAAACGUGGAUUAAUACCGGAUGUGGCUGUAUGAACUGCGGUUCUAACAGUUAAAGAUUCAUCGCUUCGGGAUGAGCUCGCGGUCCAUCAGCUUGUUGGUGAGGUAACGGCUCACCAAGGCGACGACGGAUAGCUGGUCUGAGAGGAUGACCAGUCACACUGGGACUGAGACACUGCCCAGACUCCUACGGGAGGCUGCAGUCGAGAAUCUUCCGCAAUGGGCGCAAGCCUGACGGAGCGAUGCUGCGUGCCGGACGAAGGCCUUCGGGUCGUAAACGGCUGUCACUCGGGACGAAUUUUGACGGUACCGAGAGAGGAAGCCACGGCUAACUACGUGCCAGCAGCCGCGGUAAUACGUAGGUGGCGAGCGUUAUUCGGAAUUAUUGGGCCUAGAGGGUUCGUAGGGGGUAAUGUAAGUCCGGUGUGAAAUCUCGAGGCUCAACCUCGAAACUGCAUUGGAAACUGCAUUACUUGAGUGUCAGAGAGGAAAGCGGAAUUCCUGGUGUAGCGGUGGAAUGCGUAGAUAUCAGGAAGAACACCGACGGCGAAGGCAGCUUUCUGGCUGGCAACUGACCCUGAUGAACGAAAGCUAGGGUAGCGAACAGGAUUAGAUACCCUGGUAGUCCUAGCUGUAAACGUUGUGCACUGGAUGUGGGCGGAUUUGGUCCCGUCUGUGUCUGAGCGAAGGCGCUAAGUGCACCGCCUGGGGACUACGGNCGCAAGGCUAAAACUCAAAGGAAUUGACGGGGGCCCGCACAAGCGGUGGAGCCUGUGGCUCAAUUCGAGGCAACGCGAAGAACCUUA
rnacentral:rRNA from 1 species